UGUAAAACAGUGUACGGCGCACAUAGGUCUUUGACUCCUAAACCAGAGGUUCAACUCCUCCUUUUACAA
rnacentral:tRNA from 1 species